GACGAACGCUGGCGGCGUGCUUAACACAUGCAAGUCGAACGGAAAGGCCCUGCUUUUGUGGGGUGCUCGAGUAGCGAACGGGUGAGUAACACGUGAGUAACCUGCCCUUGACUUUGGGAUAACUUCAGGAAACUGGGGCUAAUACCGGAUAGGAGCUCCUGCUGCAUGGUGGGGGUUGGAAAGUUUCGGCGGUUGGGGAUGGACUCGCGGCUUAUCAGCUUGUUGGUGGGGUAGUGGCUUACCAAGGCUUUGACGGGUAGCCGGCCUGAGAGGGUGACCGGCCACAUUGGGACUGAGAUACGGCCCAGACUCCAACGGGAGGCAGCAGUGGGGAAUAUUGCACAGUGGGCGGAAGCCUGAUGCAGCAACGCCGCGUGCGGGAUGACGGCCUUCGGGUUGUAAACCGAUUUCGCCUGUGACGAAGCGUGAGUGACGGUAAUGGGUAAAGAAGCACCGGCUAACUACGUG
rnacentral:rRNA from 1 species